CAGCAGCCGCGGUAAUACGAAGGGUGCAAGCGUUACUCGGAAUUACUGGGCGUAAAGCGUGCGUAGGUGGUGGGUUAAGUCGGUUGUGAAAGCCCUGGGCUCAACCUGGGAAUUGCAGUGGAUACUGGGUCACUAGAGUGUGGUAGAGGAUAGUGGAAUUUCCGGUGUAGCAGUGAAAUGCGUAGAGAUCGGAAGGAACAUCUGUGGCGAAGGCGACUAUCUGGGCCAACACUGACACUGAGGCACGAAAGCGUGGGGAGCAAACAGGAUUAGAUACCCCGGUAGUCCCUGUCUCUUAUAC
rnacentral:rRNA from 1 species